rnacentral:lncRNA from 1 species
AUAAAAGUCAUUAUCCUUGAGCAGUGCUAAUUGCAAGGAUCCUAAUUCAGAGGUGAUGCUAGCUACUCCCCUUUGUUCACUCCAAUCCCUUCAAGCUUGUGCCUAAAGUAACAGUCAUGUUAGGAGAAGGUGAGAGCUAAAAUGGUCGUGACAUUUUACGAGGCACAUUUUCAUGCUGUUCCGUACCUCCUCCUACUGCUCUUUUUUUGGUCCCCAGUUAGAGGAGCUAUGCCAGUCAUAUGUCUAGCUGCUGUGUGUGCCAGUAUAAUACUCCUCAGUGGGAAAACUCCUUACAACAGGCACUCGCCCUGCCAUCCUUAGCCUGUGCUCAUGAGGGGAAGGGAUCAGAUCCAUCUGUACUUCCCACCUGUUGCUAACUGAUCGAUCCUGUUUUCUUGCACUUUGUACAUCACAAUAUUAUCAUGGGUAAAAUGAAGAGUGUUUCUCAGAAGUAUGCCUUGUGAUUUCUGGCCUGCUCAGACUGCCUGCUUCUUCCAGAUGAGAUGAUGUGACAAAUAAAUACUUAAGAUCUCUGAGAAGUACUCUGCCAUGAGUCUCCCCAGCAGAAGACAGGGUCAGGGGACCUGGCUGUGCCCAUUCCCUGUUUGCACCACAUUAGGAACUGC